rnacentral:rRNA from 1 species
GAGUGUUGGGUUAAGUCCCGUAACGAGCGCAACCCUUGUCCUUAGUUACCAGCACGUUAUGGUGGGCACUCUAAGGAGACUGCCGGUGACAAACCGGAGGAAGGUGGGGAUGACGUCAAGUCAUCAUGGCCCUUACGGCCUGGGCUACACACGUGCUACAAUGGUCGGUACAAAGGGUUGCCAAGCCGCGAGGUGGAGCUAAUCCCAUAAAACCGAUCGUAGUCCGGAUCGCAGUCUGCAACUCGACUGCGUGAAGUCGGAAUCGCUAGUAAUCGUGAAUCAGAAUGUCACGGUGAAUACGUUCCCGGGCCUU